rnacentral:rRNA from 1 species
GACAGAGGAUGCAAGCGUUAUCCGGAAUGAUUGGGCGUAAAGCGUCUGUAGGUGGCUUUCAAGUCCGCCGUCAAAUCCCAGGGCUCAACCCUGGACAGGCGGUGGAAACUACCAAGCUGGAGUACGGUAGGGGCAGAGGGAAUUUCCGGUGGAGCGGUGAAAUGCAUUGAGAUCGGAAAGAACAACCAACGGCGAAGCACUCUGCUGGGCCGACACUGACACUGAGAGACGAAGCUAGGGAGCAAAUGGAUUAGGAAACC